rnacentral:rRNA from 1 species
UCAAGUUAUAAAAAGCAUAGGGCGGAUGCCUUGGCACUAAGAACCGAUGAAGGACGUGGUAAGCUGCGAAAAGCUUUGGGGAGCCGCAAGCAGGCGUUGAUCCAGAGAUAUCCGAAUGGGGAAACCCACAUACGGCAAACCGUAUGUAUCCUAUGGUGAAUACAUAGCCAUAGGAAGGGAACCCGGUGAACUGAAACAUCUAAGUAGCCGGAGGAAGAGAAAGAAAAAUCGAUUCCCUGAGUAGCGGCGAGCGAAAGGGGAACAGGCCAAACUAGACUGGCUCUGCUAGUCUGGGGUUGCGGACCGAUAUAAGGGUACAAGUUGAUAGCCAAAUACCGCUGGGAAGCGGAACCGUAGAAGGUGAUAGUCCUGUAGGUGAAAUCAACGAAUAUCUGAUCGGUAUCCAGAGUACCAUGGGACACGUGAAACCCUGUGGGAAGCCGGGAGGACCAUCUCCCAAGCCUAAAUAUUCCUUAGUGACCGAUAGCGCAUAGUACCGUGAGGGAAAGGUGAAAAGAACCCCGGAAGGGGAGUGAAAUAGAACCUGAAACCCUAUGUUUACAAUUGGUCGAAGCACGUUAAAGUGCGACGGCGUACUUUUUGUAGAACGGGCCAACGAGUUAAGGUGUGCAGCAAGGUUAAGGACUUCAGGUCCGGAGCCGAAGCGAAAGCAAGUCUGAAUAGGGCGAAUUAGUUGUAUGCUUUAGACCCGAAACCGGGUGACCUAUCCAUGAGCAGGUUGAAGCGGGAGUAAAAUCUCGUGGAGGACCGAACCCAUAUACGUUGAAAAGUGUUGGGAUGACUUGUGGAUAGCGGUGAAAUUCCAAUCGAACUCGGAGAUAGCUGGUUCUCCCCGAAAUAGCUUUAGGGCUAGCCUCAAGGAGAGUAUCGCGGAGGUAGAGCACUGACUGACCUAGGGGCGUUUAUACGUUACCAAAGUUUAUCAAACUCCGAAUGCCGCAGAUAUAUACUUGGGAGUCAGACUGUGUGAGAUAAGUUUCAUAGUCGAAAGGGAAACAGCCCAGACCGUCAGCUAAGGUCCCAAAAUAUUAGUUAAGUGGGAAAGGAUGUUGGACUACACAGACAACCAGGAUGUUGGCUCAGAAGCAGCCAUUCAUUCAAAGAGUGCGUAAUAGCUCACUGGUCGAGUGGUCCAGCGCCGAAAAUGUCCGGGGCUCAAACUAAUUACCGAAGCUACGGCUUGUAUCUUUUAGAUACAGGGGUAGGGGAGCAUUGUAUGUGGGACGAAGUCGUACCGGAAGGAGCGGUGGACUGCAUACAAGAGAGAAUGUUGGCAUGAGUAACGAAAGCGAAGUGAGAAUCUUCGCCAUCGGAAGCCUAAGGUUUCCUGAGGAAGGCUCGUCCGCUCAGGGUUAGUCGGGACCUAAGCCGAGGCCGAAAGGCGUAGGCGAUGGACAACUGGUUGAUAUUCCAGUACCACCUUAGAUUGUUUGAGAGAUGUAGUGACACAGAAGGGUAGGUAGAGCACACUGUUGGUUAUGUGUGUCUAAGCAGGUAGGCUAGUGUGCAGGCAAAUCCACACACUAUUAGGCCGAGACGCGAAUGCGAGGGAAAUUUAGUACCGAAGUCGCUGAUCCCACGCUGUCGAGAAAAGCUACUAUUGAGAGAUAAGGUGCCCGUACCGUAAACCGACACAGGUAGGCAGGAAGAGAAUUCUAAGAUGAUCGAGAGAACCAUUGCUAAGGAACUCGGCAAAAUGACCCCGUAACUUCGGGAGAAGGGGUGCCCUUGAGAGUGAAGUCAUACGACGUAAGCUUUUGAGGGCCGCAGAGAAAAGGCCCAAGCGACUGUUUAGCAAAAACACAGGUCUCUGCUAAGUUGAAAGACGAAGUAUAGGGGCUGACGCCUGCCCGGUGCUGGAAGGUUAAGGGGAAGUGUUAGCGGUAACGCGAAGCACAGAACUUAAGCCCCAGUAAACGGCGGCCGUAACUAUAACGGUCCUAAGGUAGCGAAAUUCCUUGUCGGGUAAGUUCCGACCCGCACGAAAGGCGUAACGAUUUGGGCGCUGUCUCGGCAAUGGACUCGGUGAAAUUACAGUACUCGUGAAGAUGCGGGUUACCCGCGGCAGGACGGAAAGACCCCGUGGAGCUUUACUGCAGGCUGGCAUUGGAUUUUGGUAUAAUAUGUACAGGAUAGGUGGGAGACUUGGAAGCCGGAACGCCAGUUUCGGUGGAGUCGCCCUUUGGAUACCACCCUUAUUAUACUAGGAUUCUAACCAUAGGCCAUGAAUCUGGUCUUGGGACAUUGUCAGUUGGGCAGUUUGACUGGGGCGGUCGCCUCCAAAAAUGUAACGGAGGCGCUCAAAGGUUUCCUCAGCACGGUCGGAAAUCGUGCGUAGAGCGUAAAGGUAAAAGGAAGCUUGACUGCGAGAGCUACAACUCGAGCAGGAUCGAAAGAUGGACUUAGUGAUCCGGCGGUACCGAAUGGAAGGGCCGUCGCUCAACGGAUAAAAGCUACCCCGGGGAUAACAGGCUUAUCUCCCCCAAGAGUCCACAUCGACGGGGAGGUUUGGCACCUCGAUGUCGGCUCGUCUCAUCCUGGGGCUGAAUUCGGUCCCAAGGGUUGGGCUGUUCGCCCAUUAAAGAGGCACGCGAGCUGGGUUCAGAACGUCGUGAGACAGUUCGGUCCCUAUCCGCCGUGGGCGCAGGAAAUUUGAAAGGAGUUGUCCCUAGUACGAGAGGACCGGGAUGAACAAACCGCUGGUGCACCAGUUGUUCCGCCAGGAGCAUAGCUGGGUAGCUAAGUUUGGAAGGGAUAAGCGCUGAAGGCAUCUAAGCGCGAAGCCCCCCUUAAGAUUAGAUUUCCCAUCACUUUAUGUGAGUAAGACCCCUUGAAGACUACGAGGUUGAUAGGCUGGAGGUGUAAGGGCAGCAAUGUCUUUAGCUGACCAGUACUAAUAGGUCGAGGACUUGAUC